GUAGUUGUGGCCGAGUGGUUAAGGCGAUGGAAUAGAAAUCCAUUGGGGUCUCCCCACGCAGGUUCGAAUCCUGUUGACUAUG
rnacentral:tRNA from 2 species